rnacentral:lncRNA from 1 species
UGUUUAUUAACUACAAACCGUGAGGUACUUGCCAACUCUGACCAUAAAAUGUUCUAUUCUGAGGCUGUCUCUCUGUUUCUGAGGAGAAUAAGAAGUCAAAUGUCUUGAAAAUAACCAAUCCCAUCCUGAGAAAACCUUCUAGUUACUUUCUCUCCUCGGAUUUUGUUUUUUUAAUUAAAACAAGCUAAAGUGAAAUAAAUAAAACAAAAUGAUCUGUAAUGGUGGAGGCAAGUGGAAUGAAAGUACAUUUUCCAUUCAAAACAAUGUACACAUGAAUGUUUAAAUUCAUCAGCCUUUCACUGUGUAAUAAUGUGACAUGUUUACAGUGUUGAAGGAAAUCAGGUGUUUUCAUGCUAAAUGAAAAUAAAAUUUAUGUACUGUUAUUACCAUA